rnacentral:tRNA from 1 species
UCUCUGGUGGUCCAGUAGCUAAGACUCUACAUUCCCAGUGCAGGAGGCCCGGGUUCAAUUCCGGGUCAGAGAA